GGGCUCCUCGAGGGCCGCCAGAGCGGACGCUGAGGAGGGGCAGAGAGCGAGCGAUGGUUGCUAGCACGUUGUCACCUCUCACCCUCACCUCAGCUUCCCGAAGUGCUGGUAUUACAUGCAUGAGCCACUGUACCCGGCCAUCUUCUACUAGUUUUAUAGUAUAAGAUUUUGUGCUUAAGUCUUUAAUCCAGAUGAUCAUUGCCACUGUACUAUGGCCUGGGCGACACAGCAAGAUCUUGUUUUUAAAAUAAAUAAAUAAAAUGAAGAGGACCCUCUGAAGGAAGCAGAUUGCUCCCACUGGAUCUGGGAGACACCCCAAAUACUAGCUGGGUAUAAGUAAACAAGAAGAGGGCCUGCGAGGAGAGUCUGACGAGCAAAGGGAAGGUAGCCAAGGAUGGAGUGAAAUACAGGUUUUGACUUAAAGUUAAUUUUGUCUGAUGCAAAGAUGGGCUGUCUGGAAAGCUGGACUCAGCCUGGAGCAUGUUCCCCAGAUUGCUAUUUUGUGAAGGCUUCCGCAUACAAAUGACUCAGAUCCAAACAUUCAAAAAUGAUCUUGGAGGGCCAUCUGGUUCUUGCUGGUUCUAAAAGCUUCCUUCAGCCUGGAGUAUGGAUCCAGUACAAAAGAUAGUGAGAGCUGUUCAUUGAGGUUUAACAUGUUCCACUGACCGAGGCUAGAAGCUGGCUUUAAAAAAUAGCCAACACUGAUGCUCCAAGGGCCAAUUGCUGAUGCUUGUCACAGUGAAGAUCCCGGUGUUACACAUCCAAUCGUUCACCUCCUUCCAAGACUAUGACAUUCCAGGAAACCUUCACUGCUAAGAGGAACUAAGAUCUAGAGUAUCUCCUCGAGGAAGUACAACUGACUUGUCUUUGGACAAAAUUGAGAAGAACUCAUAAACUUGGCUUCCUCACUUCUGCUUCUCAGAUGCGCGUGGAUGAUUUGAAGAUAUUAGCCUAACAAGAUGGAAGCAGGUUUAAAAUUUUACAUAAGAAGUUACCUUUUUCAGGUAAUGGUGUUUUUCUGUAAUUUUCCCAAACCUUUCGUUUCCUCAAGUAUUGCAAAUUUUUAGGGCAUGCUUGAAUGAUUUAAUUAUGAAGAAUAACUACAUUUUAAACUUAAUUUUUUAAAAAAGAAAGCAGUUUUAUAAUUUUCAUAGCCAAGGAGUAGAGCAGGCAUGACAUUCAACUCUAUGGAGUUUGGAAAAUUUUUAGAAAUUUAUUACUGAACAGCACUUGGUUUUUUGGAUUUGAAAAUUAAGCCAUAGAGCUACAACUAAAUUCUGUUUUGCCAAACUUCACAGCACCAGCAGGCUCUGAGCAAUCAUAAGCAUUUGAAACUAGCAGGCACUGCCCCUUAACUCUGUCGCUAUCUUGGGCAUUUGAAUGAAAAAAUAUAAGUAUUACAGGAUUGGCUCUAAAAAGCCUACCAUGUGUUCUGAAUUCCUGGAAGAUAGAGCUUAUAUAAAUUACAUAAUAACAAUAUUGAUUUUUUUUUACUUUAGUCAUAGAUUGGCAAUACUAUAUGGCACUUUAUGAAACUAUUCCCAUGCAUAUAUUCAGUGAGUAGGAUUUGAUCUUAGCUUUCAUGAUACAGGCAGUUUCCUUUUAGUGUCAUUGAAGGGCUUUAUGCCACCUAAAAAUGUUUAAUAACAUAAAUUAUAUAUUUGCUUUAUAAGUUACAUUACUCGGCCUUUGUCACUGCUUAUCAGCAUUAACCCAUAUUUUCCAACUUGUUAAUAUUACUAAGAGAGCCCACGGAUUCUUGCUUAAUGAAGCAAGCCAAAAUUUCUUCUGUAAAAAA
rnacentral:lncRNA from 1 species